CUAUCUGGUAUAAAUCAUGUAUGUAGUAUUUUAUUUUUAUAUUUUAAUUUAAUUACUGCUGCAUGCCAGUAUUGUUAAUUAAAGAAAGGCAAUACAUGACAAUAAGUUAACUUACUGCAC